UACAGAGGUGCCAAGCGUUAGUCGGAAUCACUGGGCUUAAAGCGUGUGUAGGCGGACUUCUAAGUACCUUGUGAAAUCCCUCGGCUUAACCGGGGAACUGCGUCUGAUACUGGAUGGCUAGAGGUUGGGAGAGGGAUGCGGAAUUCCAGGUGUAGCGGUGAAAUGCGUAGAUAUCAGGAGGAACACCGGUGGCGAAGGCGGAUCUCUGGGCCUGUUCUGACGCUGAGGCGCGAAAGCUAGGGGAGCGAACAGG
rnacentral:rRNA from 1 species